rnacentral:rRNA from 1 species
UACGUAGGGUGCAGGCGUUAAUCGGAAUUACUGGGCGUAAAGCGCACGUAGGUGGCUGGGUAAGUUGGAUGUGAAAUCCCCGGGCUUAACUUGGGAAUUGCAUUCAAGACUGCCUUGCUAGAGUGUGGAAGAGGGAAGCGGAAUUCCAGGUGUAGCAGUGAAAUGCGUAGAUAUCGUGAGGAAUACCAGAGGCGAAGGCGGCUACCUGGACAAUUGCUGACGCUCAGGCACGAAAGCGUGGGGAGCAAAAGGG